rnacentral:ncRNA from 1 species
UUGAUCCGGAUGCGAGGUGACUCGCACGUCCGGUUCUUAGGGGGAUGGAACUUAAUGCCUAUACCGCCCUUGC